GUCGAACGGUAACAGGAAGAAGCUUGCUUCUUUGCUGACGAGUGGCGGACGGGUGAGUAAUGUCUGGGAAACUGCCUGAUGGAGGGGGAUAACUACUGGAAACGGUAGCUAAUACCGCAUAACGUCGCAAGACCAAAGAGGGGGACCUUCGGGCCUCUUGCCAUCGGAUGUGCCCAGAUGGGAUUAGCUAGUAGGUGGGGUAACGGCUCACCUAGGCGACGAUCCCUAGCUGGUCUGAGAGGAUGACCAGCCACACUGGAACUGAGACACGGUCCAGACUCCUACGGGAGGCAGCAGUGGGGAAUAUUGCACAAUGGGCGCAAGCCUGAUGCAGCCAUGCCGCGUGUAUGAAGAAGGCCUUCGGGUUGUAAAGUACUUUCAGCGGGGAGGAAGGGAGUAAAGUUAAUACCUUUGCUCAUUGACGUUACCCGCAGAAGAAGCACCGGCUAACUCCGUGCCAGCAGCCGCGGUAAUACGGAGGGUGCAAGCGUUAAUCGGAAUUACUGGGCGUAAAGCGCACGCAGGCGGUUUGUUAAGUCAGAUGUGAAAUCCCCGGGCUCAACCUGGGAACUGCAUCUGAUACUGGCAAGCUUGAGUCUCGUAGAGGGGGGUAGAAUUCCAGGUGUAGCGGUGAAAUGCGUAGAGAUCUGGAGGAAUACCGGUGGCGAAGG
rnacentral:rRNA from 1 species